UACAGAGGUCUCAAGCGUUUGUUCGGAUUCAUUGGGCGUAAAGGGUGUGUAGGUGGCGCCGUAAGUCGGGUGUGAAAUUUCGGGAGCUUAACUCCGAAACUGCAUUCGAUACUGCGGUGCUUGAGGACUGGAGAGGAGACUGGAAUUCAUGGUGUAGCAGUGAAAUGCGUAGAGAUCAUGAGGAAGACCAGUGGCGAAGGCGGGUCUCUGGACAGUUCCUGACACUGAGACACGAAGGCCAGGGGAGCAAACGGG
rnacentral:rRNA from 1 species